AUCAAAAUCGAUUGAAUUUCGAAGAUUCGAAUUCGAAAUUCGAAACAAAAAUUCGAAUUUUCUUUUGACU
rnacentral:tRNA from 1 species